CCUACGGGAGGCAGCAGUGGGGAAUAUUGGACAAUGGGCGAAAGCCUGAUCCAGCAAUGCCGCGUGAGUGAUGAAGGCCUUAGGGUUGUAAAGCUCUUUUACCAGGGAUGAUAAUGACAGUACCUGGAGAAUAAGCUCCGGCUAACUCCGUGCCAGCAGCCGCGGUAAUACGGAGGGAGCUAGCGUUGUUCGGAAUUACUGGGCGUAAAGCGUACGUAGGCGGUUAUUCAAGUCAGAGGUGAAAGCCUGGAGCUCAACUCCAGAACUGCCUUUGAAACUAGAUAGCUAGAAUCUUGGAGAGGUGAGUGGAAUUCCGAGUGUAGAGGUGAAAUUCGUAGAUAUUCGGAAGAACACCAGUGGCGAAGGCGACUCACUGGACAAGUAUUGACGCUGAGGUACGAAAGCGUGGGGAGCAAACAGGAUUAGAUACCCUGGUAGUCCACGCCGUAAACGAUGAUAACUAGCUGUUCGGGCUCUACGAGCUUGAGUGGCGCAGCUAACGCAUUAAGUUAUCCGCCUGGGGAGUACGGUCGCAAGNUUAAAACUCAAAGGAAUUGACGGCUUGAGACGNGCGAGACGACGACGAGGGAGAGG
rnacentral:rRNA from 1 species